rnacentral:rRNA from 1 species
CGUAGGGGGCGAGCGUUGUCCGGAAUCAUUGGGCGUAAAGAGCUCGUAGGCGGUUCAGCAAGUCGGCUGUGAAAUUCCGAGGCUCAACCUCGGAACUGCAGUCGAUACUGCUGUGACUCGAGUCCGGUAGAGGAGAAUGGAAUUCCCGGUGUAGCGGUGAAAUGCGCAGAUAUCGGGAGGAACACCAGUAGCGAAGGCGGUUCUCUGGGCCGGUACUGACGCUGAGGAGCGAAAGCGUGGGGAGCAAACAGGAUUAGAUACCCUGGUAGUCCACGCUGUAAACGUUGGACACUAGGUGUGGCGGUCUGAUCAACGACUGCCGUGCCGAAGCUAACGCAUUAAGUGUCCCGCCUGGGGAGUACGGCCGCAAGGCUA